rnacentral:rRNA from 1 species
UACGGAGGGUGCAAGCAUUAAUCGGAUUUAUUGGGCGUAAAGGGCGCGUAGGCUGGUUCGUAAGUCAGAUGUGAAAUCCCGGGGCUCAACCUCGGAACAGCAUUUGAAACUGCGUACCUAGAGGAUAGGCGGAGAAAACGGAAUUCCACAAGUAGCGGUGAAAUGCGUAGAUAUGUGGAAGAACACCGGUGGCGAAGGCGGUUUUCUAGCUUAUUCCUGACGCUGAGGCGCGAAAGCAAGGGGAUCAAACAGG